ensembl:lncRNA
CUGUGCUUAUCUUUACAAAUCCCUCCUGACCUCUGGGGCUGCCUGGGCUGACCUGGCAGGGGAGGAAUUAACGGACGCAGCCCCUGUCCUAGACCUGCCGCCUGCCCCCAGGGGAGGCGGGCGGGACAGAUCCAUUCACUUUGUGCCCACUAUGAGCUAGGACUCACUCUGGAGGCUGAGAUGGGAGGAUCACCACAAGUUCGAGGCCAGCCUGGGGUACAUAGUGAGUUCAAGACCAGCCUGAACCAUAGCAAGACUCUGUCUCCAAGGGAACAAAAAAUGCCCAGGAUCAUCCCUCCAAGAGCUAAGAACCAGAUCUUCAGAGUUCUGCCACUGCGGUGAAACUACCACCUUCACAUCUUGGUCUUAGUGCAUCGACCCCAGCCUCACACUUGCACCGGGAGAGUCUCUAACAGGUUUUCUCAGAAUGGAGGUCCAGGGGCUUCAGUGUGGCUCACCGGCAGCACUGGCUAAUGUACCAGAGGCUGUGGGUUCCAUCCGGACACCGCAAGGAUCCUGGUUGGAGCCCGAAGCCUCCUCUGAGCAGACCCUCCCUCCCUCCCUCCCUCGGGGUCUUCACUCCUGCAGGUUGAGUCAGCUCCCGAAGGAUUACAAGUGCUAAAGGGUUGAUUCAGGGAAGCUGCCUGUCUGGACAAGGCAUGAGGGAACAUAUUUCCAAGGACCAACCUGCCGGCUCCUCGGGUGUGGGAGCAUCUUCUAUUGAGAGGGGAAACUGUGUCCCCUGCCAUGGCUGGGCGCAGAGUGGGGCUGGGGAAGGGUUCAGGUUCACUGCAGUGCCCACUCAGGCUCAUCGGGAAAGGGCACAGAUUCUAAAAGCUGGCAAAGUCUGGAGUACUCUCUGUCAGACGUGUUCACAUCGCGAGGCUAGCAGGAAUCAUUUGAUGCUAGCAGCCUCUCUGCCUGGCACUGGUGAGUCCCAGGGUUUCCGAGCUGUGGUCUCAGAGCACUGGGACCCGCCUCAAGGGUGGGUGAAUCUGAACCCGCCACCUGUCCAGGCCACUUUUAACGACCUCGCUGUUAAACUUCUCUCUAAAAUUUCCUUUGAAGUUGGAGUUCCAUACCAAAUUCAAGGUCGGAGACCCACUGCCUGGAGUUCUUGUCCUGCCUCAGAGUGAAGUUUGUGUCCUGUCUCGCAGAGGCAAGACUGACUUUCCGAAGGCGAGAGCCACCAUCAGCAAUGACACCCUGGCCCGGGCACACAUGCGCCCUGUGGCUCGGGGCAAGUCGUGGCCUCUCUGGCUUCCUCUACCUCCUGUGUAGACAGGGGUAUCAGCGCUGACCUCGCCGGCUGUGGGGAGGAUUAAAGCCAAGCCCGG